GAUAUUGGGGUCAUUUGGGGCACCUGAAACAAACUGUCAUCCACCUGACAGGUGUGGCAAAUCAAGAUGCUGAUUGAACAGGAUUCAGGCACAGGCUUCCCAUGCUGGUGUUGGUAUGCUGGUGGCCAGCUUCAUCAGCAACUUCUUCCUCAAGACUAUACUGAUAGACCAGCGUAAUCAGGUCCACCAGCUAAACCAGCACCUAACCAGCAUAGACCAGCAUGGAAAUCAUGCUGGUCUAUGCUGGGUUUUCCCAGCAGGGCUUCAUCCACUCAACUCCUGUAAUGUCCAGCCAAGAUGGCACAGGUGCACAGGGCAUGUGAUGAGAUGAAGGGGGCACAAAAGCAGCUUAGGCAAUGAUGAUGGUGGUAGUUUCUAAGGAGGCAUGCUGCUGCAAAACUUAAUCACUGAAGCACUUGGAUGAAAGAAGUUUGCCCUUUCAAUUCCUUUGAAAAAUGGCGACAUCUUCAGGUCGAUUCUUGGUAUUACAUCAGUAUUUCUAUCAUUCAAAUCAGUGAAGGCAGACUAAGCUAAAGAAUCACCUCUCAUCAUGAGGCAGCGCAGUUGAACAGUACCACACAACUGUAGCUUCAAAAAUGAGCAUGAAGUUGAAUCAACUGUUAAUAGGAUUUAUUAUAGGACUGCAUUAGACUGAAUUACAAGUUUGAAAACAAGCUUAUCAUGAUCGGGUGUCGAAUCAGGAAGAACAUGGAGUUUUGCAGGAAGACAUCGAUGCUGAUGGUGAUACAGAUCUGACACUUCAGUACCUGAAAGAGUCCAGCAGGAAGUAACAGCUGUACAUAAACCUGCCUGCAGUUCCCACAUCAGAGAACUAUCUGGCCUGAUGAUGGGAGAGACGAACCAUGCUGCCUCUACUAUCUAAACUUUCCCACUCUUACCUGUGUAUCCAAGCAUCGUCUACUCCUUGUGAGAGACCGUUUUCAACAGCAGGAGACACAAUCAGCCAGGAGAGGUCAAACU